rnacentral:rRNA from 1 species
CCUACGGGCGGCAGCAGUGGGGAAUAUUGCACAAUGGGCGCAAGCCUGAUGCAGCCAUGCCGCGUGUGUGAAGAAGGCCUUCGGGUUGUAAAGCACUUUCAGCGGGGAGGAAGGCGGUGAGGUUAAUAACCUCAUCGAUUGACGUUACCCGCAGAAGAAGCACCGGCUAACUCCGUGCCAGCAGCCGCGGUAAUACGGAGGGUGCAAGCGUUAAUCGGAAUUACUGGGCGUAAAGCGCACGCAGGCGGUCUGUCAAGUCGGAUGUGAAAUCCCCAGGCUCAACCUGGGCACUGCAUUCGAAACUGGCAGGCUAGAGUCUUGUAGAGGGGGGUAGAAUUCCAGGUGUAGCGGUGAAAUGCGUAGAGAUCUGGAGGAAUACCGGUGGCGAAGGCGGCCCCCUGGACAAAGACUGACGCUCAGGUGCGAAAGCGUGGGGAGCAAACAGGAUUAGAUACCCUUGUAGUC